rnacentral:rRNA from 1 species
CUACGGGGGGCUCCAGUGAGGAAUUUUGCGCAAUGGGGGAAACCCUGACGCAGCAACGCCGCGUGAGUGAAGAAGGCCCUUGGGUCGUAAAGCUCUGUCAAUGGGGAAGAAGUUAUUAUGUGUUAAUAGCACAUUUUAUUGACGGUACCCAUGGAGGAAGCACCGGCUAACUCCGUGCCAGCAGCCGCGGUAAUACGGGGGGUGCAAGCGUUAUUCGGAAUUAUUGGGCGUAAAGGGCACGCAGGCGGUCCUGUCAGUCAGAUGUGAAAGCCCGGGGCUCAACCCCGGACGUGCAUUUGAAACAGCAGGACUUGAGUACGGGAGAGGAAAGGGGAAUUCCUGGUGUAGAGGUGAAAUUCGUAGAUAUCAGGAGGAACACCGGUGGCGAAGGCGCCUUUCUGGACCGAUACUGACGCUGAGGUGCGAAGGCGUGGGUAGCGAACGGGAUUAGAUACCCCGGUAGUC